CCUACGGGGGGCAGCAGUGGGGAAUAUUGGACAAUGGGGGCAACCCUGAUCCAGCCAUGCCGCGUGUGUGAAGAAGGCCCCCGGGUUGUAAAGCACUUUCAGUGAGGAAGAACGCCUGGUGGUUAAUACCCAUCAGGAAAGACAUCACUCACAGAAGAAGCACCGGCUAACUCCGUGCCAGCAGCCGCGGUAAUACGGAGGGUGCGAGCGUUAAUCGGAAUUACUGGGCGUAAAGCGCGCGUAGGUGGCUUGAUAAGCCGGUUGUGAAAGCCCCGGGCUCAACCUGGGAACGGCAUCCGGAACUGUCAAGCUAGAGUGCAGGAGAGGAAGGUAGAAUUCCCGGUGUAGCGGUGAAAUGCGUAGAGAUCGGGAGGAAUACCAGUGGCGAAGGCGGCCUUCUGGACUGACACUGACACUGAGGUGCGAAAGCGUGGGUAGCAAACAGGAUUAGAUACCCCUGUAGUC
rnacentral:rRNA from 1 species